GGAAUGGUUGUAGCUCAGGUAGAGCAUCUGCUUUCCAUGCAGAAGUUUCCAUGUUCAAUCCCUGGUAUCUCUA